rnacentral:rRNA from 1 species
AUUGAACGCUGGCGGCAGGCCUAACACAUGCAAGUCGAGCGAGCGGCGGAAGGGUGAGUAAUGUCUGGGAACCUGCCUGAUGGAGGGGGAUAACUACUGGAAACGGUAGCUAAUACCGCAUACCAUCAGAUGUGCCCAGAUGGGGUUAGCGAGUAGGUGGGGUAACGGCUCACCUAGGCGACGACCCCUAGCUGGUCUGAGAGGAUGACCAGCCACACUGGAACGGAGACACGGGCCAGACUCCUAAGGCAGGCAGCAGGGGGGAGUAUUGCACAAUGGGCGCAAGCCUGAUGCAGCCAUGCCGCUUGUGUGAAGAAGGCCUUCGGGUUGUAAAGCACUUUCAGCGGGGAGGCGUUACCCGCAGAGUAAGCACCGGCUAACUCCGUGCCAGCAGCCGCGGUAAUAC